AUUCCAUCUCUGGUUUCCAUGGAGCGUCAUAAAAGGAUCUAUGUGUGUGUCAAGAGAGUGGAGAAAGAGAAGUGGCCCGGAGCUAACAGGGGAAGAAGCAUCCGCCUGCUCAAUAGCAGCUCUGAGGCAGAGAUGGAAGAUUGUGGAUCUGCUGGGACAAGGUUAUCUCAGAAGCCAAACCAGAAAGAAUAUCCUAACCCAGGACUCCACUAUGCGAUAAUGGAGGGAACAGAGACCUUAAAGUCAGGCAGUUUGGGGUUCAUGUCCUGGCUUUGCCACUUCUUUCCUGUGUAGCCUCGGGCCUGGAGGCUGACAGAACAAGACGGAAGCCCUUCAAGAGAAUUGCCAAUAAAGAGACUGAAAAUGGGCACUACCUUCCGGAGGUA